CUCCUACGGGUGGCAGCAGUCGAGAAUCUUCGGCAAUGGGGGAAACCCUGACCGAGCGACGCCGCGUGUGGGAUGAAGGCCCUUGGGUUGUAAACCACUGUCAGAGGGGAUGAAAUGCUAGGGAGUUCUCUCCUUAGUUUGACAUAGCCUCAGAGGAAGCACGGGCUAAGUUCGUGCCAGCAGCCGCGGUAAGACGAACUGUGCAAACGUUAUUCGGAAUCACUGGGCUUGAAGAGUGCGUAGGCGGUUUCGUAAGUAGGGUGUGAAAGCCCCCGGCUCAACCGGGGAAUUGCGUCCUAAACUGCGAGGCUGGAGUGAGGUAGGGGUGUGUGGAACUUCCAGUGGAGCGGUGAAAUGUGUUGAUAUUGGAAGGAACGCCGGUGGCGAAAGCGACACACUGGACCUUGUCUGACGCUGAGGCACGAAAGCCAGGGGAGCAAACGGGAUUAGAUACCCCGGUAGUCCUGGCCGUAAACGAUGAGUACUAGUGGGGAGGAUCGCAAGGUCUUCCUCACGGAGCGAAAGUUUUAA
rnacentral:rRNA from 1 species